ensembl:lncRNA
GUUGUUUUUCAUGUCUGCAGGUUGAAGCAACUUCAUUAACGUGAUAUUUAGCCCCUGGAAUGCUAAUGUUACCAGAGGAUCCCUGUCGAUAAACGUGAAUUUUACCUCCUGGAAUGCAAUUUUUACCGGGGAACUCACCUCAACACGUGAUUGGGUUGGUUUACAGUAGCAAUUGGGUGGGUUUUGUUUGCGAAAAACUGGCAACCUUGGCCCAUAAGAGGUAGGUUAAGUAGGCUUAGUGUAAGUGGUAGGUUAACUAUAGAUUUGAGCUCAUGUUUAUGAAAAUAUGGGCUUUUAAUGUCAUCUUUUGUGUAGAUAAGCUUUUUUUUAUAUAAAGGUUUUCUAUUGCUGGCCGUUUGUGCAUGUAUGAGUGGAAGUAAGCUGAUUAGAUAAACUAUAAUGUUAAAAGUAUGCACUGUGUAGUUAAUUAGAUACGUCAUUUAUAUAGAGUGUGAAAAUGGACAGAAACUUAAAACAGGUUUUGAUGUUUCAUGGUAAGAAAAGUAGUAAUCUUUUCAAAUGGUGGAUUGUAUUGUAUACCCAGAAUGCAAUGCACAAUGAUGUAGAUUCCCACUUUUAUAUACCCAAGGUACUCAACUCAACUUUAUUUAUAAAGCACUUUCAACAUCACGACUGGACCCAAAGUGCUGUACAGAGAAAGAUAAAAGAAAACAGGGUUAGGUGGGAACUUCCUGGUGGGAACUUCUUGCAUUACAGUCUCCCCUUGAGCGGGGCUCCAGUGCGGGAACCAGGGUGGAGUCAUCAAGGAUCCAGCUUAUUAUUGGCACAUUGGACAGUACAGAAAGCGCACAAGUGGGAGAGAGUGGAGGGGACGGCAUCAGAAAGGACCUAG